rnacentral:rRNA from 1 species
AACGAACGCUGGCGGCAUGCCUAACACAUGCCAGUCGAACGAGACCUUCGGGUCUAGUGGCGCACGGGUGCGUAACGCGUGGGAACCUGCCCUUAGGUUCGGAAUAACUCCCCGAAAGGGGUGCUAAUACCGGAUAAUGUCUUCGGACCAAAGAUUUAUCGUCUUUGGAUGGGCCCGCGUUGGAUUAGCUAGUUGGUAGGGUAAAAGCCUACCAAGGCGACGAUCCAUAGCUGGUCUGAGAGGAUGAUCAGCCACACUGGGACUGAGACACGGCCCAGACUCCUACGGGAGGCAGCAGUGGGGAAUAUUGGACAAUGGGCGAAGGCCUGAUCCAGCAAUGCCGCGUGAGUGAUGAAGGCCUUAGGGUUGUAAAGCUCUUUUACCCGGGAUGAUAAUGACAGUACCGGGAGAAUAAGCACCGGCUAACUCCGUG